ACGAAUUUAGGUGGCACUAACUCCGCGGAAUUUAUGUGCGUUUUUACGUUUGGUCUUAGAAAAACACAAGAAAACAAACUUCGUGUGUGGAGAAGCAUACAGUAUAACAGGACAAAAUAUACACUUUUCAAAUAUGUUUGUGCAGUUUGGAUUGAUUGCAGGCAAGAAUCUCGCAAUCAUUGCUACUUGCAUACAAAACACAAGAACAUUAAUGUUAUAUUUUAAAACAACAUGACUAUGACAAGCGUGAUGAGUUUCAGGAACAUCCAGUUAUUCAAAGCCUUGCAGCACCUCGUCAGUGGUUAAUAGACACUGCUGAUGAACUGAAAGGCACAGUGCAGGAGCUGUUUUUUGUGAAUAUGUAUUGAGAGAGAUGAAGUCUUUGAAAUGUGGAAGAAUGGUGAAGACUCGAGAUACUCUUUAUAUUUCAUUUUGAACAUCAACAAGACAUGAACAAGUUCCUGUCUGAACUGCAUGAUAAAAAGAAACUGUCUUCAUGCCCAAGUCUUGAGCAGCAAGGACAAUGAAUAUUCUGAAAAGGAGUCAGAGUAAAGGUGAGUUACCUGCUUUCCGGUGGCACAGUGACUGCGGCCUUCUCACUCGGCAUGUAUUCCUGUGUUUCUUUUC